UACGGAGGGUACAAGCAUUAAUCGGAAUUACUGGGCGUAAAGGGCGCGUAGGCGGAUUUGUAAGUCGAAUGUGAAAUUUCAAAACUCAAUUUUGAAGCUGCAUUUGAAACUGCAAGUCUCAGAGGUAUGGCGGAGAAAGAGGAAUUCCAAGUGUAGCGGUGAAAUGCGUAGAUAUUUGGAAGAACACCGGUGGCGAAGGCGUCUUUCUAGCUUUUACCUGACGCUGAGGCGCGAGAGCAAGGGGAGCAAACAGG
rnacentral:rRNA from 1 species